CACGUAGGGCGCAAGCGUUGUCCGGAAUUAUUGGGCGUAAAGAGCUCGUAGGCGGUCUGUCGCGUCUGUUGUGAAAACUCGAGGCUCAACCUCGGGCUUGCAGUGGAUACGGGCAGACUAGAGUGCGGUAGGGGAGACUGGAAUUCCUGGUGUAGCGGUGGAAUGCGCAGAUAUCAGGAGGAACACCGAUGGCGAAGGCAGGUCUCUGGGCCGCAACUGACGCUGAGGAGCGGAAGCAUGGGGAGCGAACAGG
rnacentral:rRNA from 1 species